rnacentral:rRNA from 1 species
GCCCUUAGAGUUUGAUCAUGGCUCAGAAUGAACGUUGGCGGCGUGGAUUAGGCAUGCAAGUCGAGCGAGAACCCGCAAGGGGGACAGCGGCGAACGGGGUAGGACAACGUAGGUAACGUACCCUCGGGGCGAGGACAGCCACGGGAAACUGUGGGUAAUACUCGAUAAUGUUCCCAAUCUUGAUUGGAGGGGAACCAAUGGGUGUGAUUCCACCUGAGGAGCGGCUUACGCAGUAUCAGCUUGUUGGUGAGGUAACGGCUCACCAGGGCGAUGACGCUUAGGGGAUGUGAGAGCAUGAUCCCCACCACUGGCACUGAGACACUGGCCAGACACCUACGGGUGGCUGCAGUCGAGAAUCUUCGGCAAUGGACGCAAGUCUGACCGAGCGACGCCGCGUGCGGGAUGAAGGCCCUCGGG